UUUUAAAUGUGAUUCUUGAAAUUAUUUUGCUUCCUGUCAUAAAACUGAAAAGAUUUAGAAUGAAAGUUUCAAAUUUUUAGAUCUCUUAAAAUCUUCCCAGGGAAGUAAGUACUAAUGCCUUCUCUUUCCUAUUAGUAUAUGUUUCUGUAGCAGAUCUGUUAUCUAGUUAGUUGUAUCCAAUGUUGGGAUUUUUUUUUCUUUCUUUCUUUUUUUUAAACAAUCAAUUAAAAAAAAAGAAUUGGCUUGUUUGUUACAAGUUUACUUUCCACUGUUACCAUCUAUUUCCAGCAGUCUUCUCUUUUUACUUUGGCUUCCUCUAGACUAGAAUGUAAUUUUAUAGUACCUUUUCACCAAAAAAAAAACAACAACAACAAACAAAAAAAAACCCAGAACAAACUGAAUCCAUGAAAAUGGAAAUCAAAAGGUUACCUUGUUCACUCGUAUUUAGCCCCCUUGAGCCUAAAGGAAAUUACUUUAGGUCUUAGGGUAUGCAAAGGACUAGAAAAACUGGUUUGUUUUGUUUUUUAAUUACAGGAACGUUCUGAUAAUUGAUUCUGAGGUAGGACUGGACUUGCUGUGUAAGGAGGGAUGGUGUCUGUAUGGGUUUGUGAGGCUUAACCAGCAGUUGACUACCAGUCAGCCUUACUUCUAAAAGCCGAUUGAUACCUAUAGGUAAACUGGCAGAGCAUUUGUCUCUUUUGGGUCCCCUGAAGCUUUGGAGUACAGGUGUAAUGACAGUGGAGAUGUACGCUGACUUGAGAAAUGAUUACAAGCAGUGGAAUUUAAAAUGUGUUUCUUACAACAGAAAGUAAUCUGGGCUGGAGGGGAAGGAAUUGCUUAGAGGGAGCAUCACAGGAAAUUACUGUUAAUAUAUUCUUAAUUCCCUUACUGCCUUUAUAAAUUUUUCAUGUGCUCAACUUUGACUUAGAUGGAAUCUUUCAUAUUAGUGUAAAGGGAAUCUGAAUCUUCCUCACCAUUCUUUCCACAAACAUGUUAAUGUGAGGAUUUGAUGGUGCACGGGUGAGGCACAAGGUUGAUGUAUGUGUGAAUUAUUGUAGUGUUUUUGAACAUUCUGCUUAAGGAAAAAGAAUCCCCUGAUGUAUAAAAUCUCUUUAUUUCCUCAUGGAUGUACUUGAGGGAUACAACGGAACCAUAUUUGCGUAUGGACAGACCUCCUCUGGGAAGACGCAUACGAUGGAGGGUAAACUUCAUGAUCCAGAAGGCAUGGGAAUUAUUCCAAGAAUAGUGCAAGAUAUUUUUAAUUAUAUUUACUCCAUGGAUGAAAAUUUGGAAUUUCUUAUUAAGGUUUCAUAUUUUCAAAUUUAUUUGGAUAAGAUAAGGGACCUACUAGAUGUUUCGAAGACCAGUCUUUCAGUUCAUGAAGAUAAAAACCCGAGUUCCCUACGUAAAGGGGUGCGCAGAGCGUUUUGUCUGUAGUCCAGAUGAAGUUAUGGAUACCAUAGAUGAAGGAAAAUCCAACAGACAUGUAGCAGUUACAAUGGGGAUUCCUGAGGCCUCGCUCGCCAGCUGGUGAUGUGUCAAUGUCCUACAAAGCUCCCACUGCACUGCUGAACAUGUCACGUCGAGGCCGCUCGACAAGACCUGGGCCCCCUGUUUUCUUCAUCUCAGAGGCCCUGGGCUCAGGGACCCAGGGCAUGUAUGCGGAUGCAGAACUGGCAAACAACGCCUGUCAUUCAGCGUGGUGUAACCUGCCCAUCACCAGGUCUCCAAAUCAGAAUCUCCUACCAACGCCCUGAGUGCUUUCCUCUCCUGCUGUUCAAAUGGAAUGUCAAGGGGUUCAACCCUCAAUUAUCCACACUAAUGAAGGGAAGAGCUGGAAAGAAUACUCCAAAACAGUGGCUAAUCACCCCCCACCCCAAGUCAUCAAUUAAUAGGAAGAGGUGGAUGGGAACAUCCCAUCUGAUACCAACUACCUGGACACGUUCUCUUCCCACUGCUGCUCAGCUCCUGGGAUGGGAGGUCUCAGAGCUUCUCGAAGGUGAUUCAUUCAUAUUCCUCAAAGUCUACCUUGGGACCUGGCACAGAGCAGGUUUGCAGUACACAUUCGUCAAAUGAAUGAACAAACAGGGACGGAGAAGUAAAGUGGAUGCGCACCUCACCUGCAUGUAAUCCAGCCACCUGUGGAUGCUCUAUUCCCCUCAUCACUGUAUCUUCUGACCCCCUGACCUGGGGAAGGUCAGGACACUGGAAUCUGGCAUGAUAUAUCAUCUUCAAGCUAUGUAAAUAUUCUUCCCCAAAGGGGUAAAUAUCACUGCAUAUGAUGAACUGUUUGUGGGAUUACUGAGGACGUGAAAUGAAAUUCAUCCUGAUUCCCCACUUAUUGAGAGGCGCUGCCCAAUUUGUCUCAAAUGUCACAUCUGUGUGUCUUCAUUUACUCCGCCACUGUACUGAUUAAAAGGAAUGCUCUCCCACUCCCAAGGCAGAGCCCUCAGCAAUGGAGUGGGUUCGCUCAGGAAGGAGGCACACACAGUCCCCUCCUGGGCAGAGGGAAUGGCCGUUCAUCACCUCCCCCCAAGAAGGGGCCCCCUGCCAGACACGCUGUUCUGGCCUGGCUGGGCUGAGUGGUGAAAACUGCAUAUUCAGUGUCUAUGUGUAUACGGUCAAAGAGCGUCCAUUAGCCCAAUUCUGAGCUGUCUGUGGAAUGCCCCAGGAUGGGGGAGCUCUUUCGGAACGAGGAAAUUGUCUGAGAGGCCAGGACAGGGGAAUCAGCAGGUCUGAUUACAGGAGGGAAUGAAACCAGGAAGGGUCCAUUUCUGGACCUCAAUUUCCCUGUGUGCAAAGUGACAUGAUCACCUCAGCCCUGCUCCCUGCUCCAAAAGCCAGGAAAGCACACUCUGUCCUGAACCUGCCUCUGUCUCCUGGCAGA